rfam:Paraphaeosphaeria sporulosa strain AP3s5-JAC2a unplaced genomic scaffold CC84scaffold_10, whole genome shotgun sequence.
GCCGGAAUGGCGCAGUGGUAACGCGUCGCACUUGUAUCUCAAGCAAAUGCGAAGAUCCCUAGUUCAAUUCUGGGUUUCGGCA